UUCCAAAAUAGAUGAUGAGAGUAGUAAAAUUAACAACAAAUAUUAUAUUUAACAACAAAUACUCACAGCAAAUAUCAUAUUCAACACAUGUAAUUUCAGAUCCAUAUUAUUAAACAGGACCAAACAAAUUUAUUUCAAACAAGCCAUGGAUGGACAUAUGAGAGUAGUAAAAUUAGAGAGAUGAGGUAUAAUAACCGAUCUUACUAUCAAAAUCAAUUGAAACUGACCGUAGACUUCGAAUGGCGACCUCGACGGAACCUCGUCGAACUUUAAUCGGACUGACUCACUUGUCCUCCGCUUAUCGUUACUGUUUUUCGAACCCCAGCCAGCUAUGGUGAACGGGUGGUCGUUUGGAGGUGGUCGACUGGAGUUUGGUCGUGAGGGAGUGGUCGACGGGAGGGAAACGGUUCAGCGUGGCUGUUGCUGUUGCUGGACGAACGGAGGCGUGGGUGGUUGGGGACGACGAUGAAGAUCGUUUGUUGCUGGAUGACGCAGCAGGUUCAAGUGUGACGGGUGGUGAGGGACUGAUUGGGACGUGAGGCAGCAGGUUGAGAAGCGACUGAGAUGGGGAUGAGGAUGAGGACGGUGGUCGUGUGGUUGGCGUGACAGUAGGGGACUGUUUGGGACGGAGGGGUUCGGGCGUUGCUGGAGGUUUUUAGUUUGUUUUUGUCUUCUUCAAAAUGAAGAAGAAAGUUCAAC
rnacentral:lncRNA from 1 species